rnacentral:tRNA from 1 species
AGCAAUAAUAGCUUAUAAAGAGCAUUGGUCUUGUAAGCCAAAGGUGAAAUUUAGAUUUUCUUAUUGCUG